UCCGGUUUGUCACCGGCAGUCUUGCAUGAGUCCCCAGCACCACAAGGGCCUGCUGGCAACACGGGACAAGGGUUGCGCUCGUUGCGGGACUUAACCCAACAUCUCACGACACGAGCUGACGACAGCCAUGCACCACCUGUACACCGACCACAAGGGGGACCCUGUCUCCAGAGUUUUCCGGUGUAUGUCAAGCCUUGGUAAGGUUCUUCGCGUUGCGUCGAAUUAAGCCACAUGCUCCGCCGCUUGUGCGGGCCCCCGUCAAUUCCUUUGAGUUUCAGCCUUGCGGCCGUACUCCCCAGGCGGGGCACUUAUCGCGUUAGCUUCGACACGGAGAGGGUCGAUCCCCCCCGCGUCUAGUGCCCAUCGUUUACGGCGUGGACUAC
rnacentral:misc_RNA from 1 species